UAAAAAUGCUUUCGGGCAUUGGUAAAGGAUGGACUUAUGGCGCAUUAGCUAGUUGGUAGGGUAACGGCCUACCAAGGCGACGAUGCGUAGCCGACCUGAGAGGGUGACCGGCCACACUGGGACUGAGACACGGCCCAGACUCCUACGGGAGGCAGCAGUAGGGAAUUUUCGGCAAUGGGGGAAACCCUGACCGAGCAACGCCGCGUGAAGGAAGAAGGUCUUCGGAUUGUAAACUUCUGUUAUAAAGGAAGAACGAGAUAUGCAGGAAAUGGUAUAUCAGUGACGGUACUUUAUGAGGAAGCCACGGCUAACUACGUGCCAGCAGCCGCGGUAAUACGUAGGUGGCAAGCGUUAUCCGGAAUUAUUGGGCGUAAAGAGGGAGCAGGCGGCUAUAAAGGUCUGUGGUGAAAGACUGAAGCUCAACUUCAGUAAGCCAUGGAAACCAAAUAGCUAGAGUGCAUUAGAGGAUCGUGGAAUUCCAUGUGUAGCGGUGAAAUGCGUAGAUAUAUGGAGGAACACCAGUGGCGAAGGCGACGAUCUGGGAUGUAACAGACGCUGAGUCCCGAAAGCGUGGGGAGCAAAUAGGAUUAGAUACCCUGGUAGUCCA
rnacentral:rRNA from 1 species